AAUGGUGGUGUAGUGGUUUGAACAAUGGACUCUGACUCUGGAGACCAUGGUUCAAAUCCGCGCUCGAUCA